GUCACCGAACCACCACCUGGACUCGGGAGACCCGCCGAGGGUUCGACCCCGCCGACCUGCGCUCGCUUCUCCCGCAACACGACGCGGACGUCUAUGGGACCAGAGGAGUCGCCCCCUGGUGGUCACUGCAGAGAACGCAGCUUUAAAGACGGCAGCAACGAAGAACUAAAUGCACUGACCCAGAUAAAUGAUGAAGGGCGCGGUGAUGGUUCCGAUGCGAGCAGCCAUGGAGCAACAACCCAUCGCUGUGUUUCUGACAACGGUGGGGAAGAUCUCUGACGUGUAGGUGUACACCACGCAAAACGAUGAUGUCAUGCAGAACUUCCCCAAAAUCUCCAGGACCACAGGGAUACUCGUAAUGUCUACGGGCGCACAAUCAGAACACGCAAAGACUCAAAAGAGCGACACGUCUGAAAAUGGGAGACUUCUGGUCCUCAGGAGGCGGCGGCGGCGGCAUUACCGGUCGGAAUGAGGUGAACGAGGAGGAUGAAAACGCCCCCGAAGAAGAGCGUGGAAGACUGGCAGAAGUGCCUGCCGCAGUACUUGAGCAGCAGCAGGGCGAUUAUGUAGGCCGGCACCUCGACCACGGCCGACAGGAAGCAGCUCAGAUGCUGCACACACCCAGAUAGAUGACGUAAGGAGCCGUGAUGCUGCCGAUGCGCGCGGCCGAGGAGCACAUCCCCAUGCCGGCGUUCCUGAUGACGGUGGGGUACAGCUCGGCGGUGUAGAUGUACACGAUGCUGAAGGCCAUGGUGAAGCCAAACUUUCCGGUCAUUUCCAACGCCAGAGCAACGUACUGAAGGGCUGAUGAGGGGAAAGAGGAGAUAUUUGGAUUGAGCCAUGAAUGGAUUCCCCAAACAGUCUGUUUUGAAUGGCCGUGAAAUAAAUUGCUUUUGUCGAUUUAAUAAAGUUGAAUUUAACUAAACUGAGUAGAAAAUAAAUCUUCCCGGUUCUCUUAAACAAAGACAUUUAUUCAUGACUAUUUUCAACCUAAUAAAAAAUCGUUACGUGUUCAA